CAGAAAGAAGCAAUAACUCUGUCCAAGAUGAAGAGAGAUGAGGAUUACAAUAACUAGAAUCAUCAUCAUUAUACAUAUGCGUUUCUGACUAAAAGCCAAUGAAACUAAAUAAGCAGACAAGUAAGGAAUGAGACAGAAGCAUGGCUUCAAUGAUGAAACUGGAGUAACAGUUCCGCAAGCUAAGCUCGGGUAAGCUUCCCUGGCUAAUGAUACUCUGCGCAUAUUCUUACCUAACAAUGUGCCGGGAAGGUGAUACAUCCUGACUUCACAAGGAAAGGACACAGAAAUUCCACAUCUGGGAUCCCCUCAGACCUCAUCCUGGCUGGUGUUGAUUUGUAUCCUUUCUGCCAUA